CGCGCCUACGGGACGCAGCAGUGAGGAAUAUUGGUCAAUGGUCGGGAGACUGAACCAGCCAAGCCGCGUGAGGGAUGAAGGUACUGAGUAUCGUAAACCUCUUUUGUCAGGGAACAAAGGCGGGGACGUGUCCCCGGAUGAGUGUACCUGAAGAAAAAGCCUCGGCUAACUCCGUGCCAGCAGCCGCGGUAAUACGGAGGAUGCGUGCGUUAUCCGGAUUUAUUGGGUUUAAAGGGUGCGCAGGCGGUCCGU
rnacentral:rRNA from 1 species